rnacentral:tRNA from 1 species
GCCUUCGUGGUGUAGUGGUCAGCACGCUCGACGCAUAACCGAGAGGUCCAUGGUUCGAUUCCCGGCGAAGGCG